rnacentral:rRNA from 1 species
AUUGAACGCUGGCGGCAUGCUUUACACAUGCAAGUCGAACGGUAACAGGCCUUCGGGCGCUGACGAGUGGCGAACGGGUGAGUAAUGCAUCGGAACGUGCCCAGUCGUGGGGGAUAACGCAGCGAAAGCUGUGCUAAUACCGCAUACGAUCUGUUGAUGAAAGCGGGGGACCUUCGGGCCUCGCGCGAUUGGAGCGGCCGAUGUCAGAUUAGGUAGGUGGUGGGGUAAAGGCUCACCAAGCCAACGAUCUGUAGCUGGUCUGAGAGGACGACCAGCCACACUGGGACGGAGACACGGCCCAGACUCCUACGGGAGGCAGCAGGGGGGAAUUUUGGGCAAUGGGCGCAAGCCUGAUCCAGCAAUGCCGCGUGCAGGAAGAAGGCCUUCGGGUUGUAAACUGCUUUUGUACGGAACGAAACGGUCCUGGUUAAUACCUGGGGCUAAUGACGGUACCGUAAGAAUAAGCACCGGCUAACUACGUGCCAGCCGCCGCAGUAAAAC